rnacentral:rRNA from 1 species
UUUUUACACCCAUGAGACGCAAGUAACCUGACUGGUGGGAGGGCGGCCGUUCUCGGCUGCCCGCACCAUCGACCGACCAUGAUCUUCUGUGAAAGGUUUGAGUACGAGCAUGCCUGUUGGGACCCGAAAGAUGGUGAACUAUGCCUGAGCAGGGCGAAGCCAGGGGAAACCCUGGUGGAGGCUCGUAGAUGUGCUGACGUGCAAAUCGCUUUUCGGACUUGGGUAUAGGGGCGAAAGACUAAUCGAACCAUCUAGUAGCUGGUUCCCUCCGAAGUUUCCCCCAGGAUAGCUGGAGCUCGGUCAGUUUUAUCGGGUAAAGCGAAUGAUUAGAGGUACCGGGGGUGUAACACCCUUGGCCUAUUCUCAAACUUUAAAUAGGUAAGACGUCUGGGUUGCUUAAUUGAACCCAGGCACUCAAUGAGAGCUCCAAGUGGGCCAUUUUUGGUAAGCAGAACUGGCGAUGCGGGAUGAACCGAAAGCUGAGUUAAGGCA